rnacentral:lncRNA from 1 species
UUUGAUUUUUUAUAGCCAAAUAUCUAGUUAUGGUCAUCUCCUACCCUUAAGCCAUAAAAUAAACUUUGUAAUUUUUUUCUCUCAUAUCCCCUCAAAUUUCUCCCACCUCCACCCCAUCUAUUAUCCCACUCUCUCUCUACUUUCCGAUCUCAUAUCCUCUUUUCUUCUUUCUUGUACAAUUGUUAUUGUACAACAACAGUUACCUCCUGUUUUCUCUUUUGUCGCCGGCGGUGAAGGCCAUUUGUGGUGUCGCCAUACAAUACUUGUCCUACUGCUUCUGGUUUUACAUCAACAACAGGAACCCUAAAACUAGAAGAUGAUGGUUGAUGGAAUUCAAACUUUGAACUUCUUCCCACUUCUCCUGCAACUUCUUAUGCUGAUGAAAAUGACUCACACCAGAGUUAGAGAUUUGGGGUUUUAUAUCGCCCAUGGAAUGGUCGACAGUGUUCGUGACCCCGUUUGUAAUUUAGAUGCGUGGGAACACUGAGAUUUCAGGAUUUUUGCUCGAGGACAGAUUCAUCAGAAAUUAGGGUUUGUUCUUGAACAAAGACGACGGAGUUUGGGGCUGAGCAACUUGAUUUUAUGUUAAUAUAUUUCAAUAUACUUUCAACGUAUCAUGCUGUAUUUUCAUGUAUUUCAUUGUUUUUUCAUUGUAUUUCAAUGUAUCCCGCUGUAUUAUAUGUAUUUCAUUGUAUUCAUUAUCUUUUUUUUUGUAUUUCAACGUAUCACACUGUAUUUUCAUGUAUUUCAUUGUAUUCAUUGUCUUUUUUUAAUGUAAUUCAAUGUAUCUCGAUGUAUUCUAUGUAUUUUAUUGUAUUCACUAUUUUUUAUUGUAUUUCAAUAUAUCCCGCUGUAUUAUAU